UACGAAGGGGGCUAGCGUUGCUCGGAAUCACUGGGCGUAAAGGGUGCGUAGGCGGGUUUUUAAGUCAGGGGUGAAAUCCUGGAGCUCAACUCCAGAACUGCCUUUGAUACUGAAGAUCUCGAGUCCGGGAGAGGUGAGUGGAACUGCGAGUGUAGAGGUGAAAUUCGUAGAUAUUCGCAAGAACACCAGUGGCGAAGGCGACUCUUUGGCCUGUAACUGACGCUGAGGCGCGAAAGCGUGGGGAGCAAACAGGG
rnacentral:rRNA from 1 species